ACUCAAAUGAAUAGACGGGGACUCACACAAGUAGUGGACCAUGUGGCUUAAUUCGACAACAAGCGUAGAACCUUACCAGGUCUAGAAAUCCAUUCGAAUGCCAGCAGAAACGUUGGCAGCCGCAAGGCGGAUGGACAGGUGCUGCAUGGUUGUCGUCAGUUCGUGUCUUGAGACGUUCCCUUAAUUGGGGUAACGAACGCAACCCUUGCUCUGUGUUUUAUAUGUCACAGAGGACUGCCCGAGAUAAUUGGGAGGAAGGCGAGGAUGACGCCAAAUCAGCAUGGCCCUUGAUGACCUGGGCCGCACACGUGGUACAAUGGCCGGUACAAUGCGUACAAAGCCGCAAGGCGGAGAUUAAUCGCACCAAAGCCGGUCUCAGUUCGGAUUGAGGUCUGCAACCCGACCUCAUGAAGCUGGAAUUACUAGUAAUCGCCGAUCAGCUACGCGGCGAUGAAUACGUUCCUGAGUCUUGUACACACCGCCCGU
rnacentral:rRNA from 1 species